AGCGAACGUUUGCGGCGGGCCUAACACAUGCAAGUCGAACGCACUAGCAAUAGUGAGUGGCGCACGGGUGCGUAACACGUGGGUAAUCAACCCUUCAGCUUGGGAUAACGACUUGAAAGGGUCGCUAAUACCGGAUACGGCGCGAGAGGCUUCGGCUUCUCACGAGAAAGCCUCGCAAGGGGCACUGAAGGACGAGCCUGCGGCCCAUCAGCUAGUUGGUGAGGUAAGAGCUCACCAAGGCUAAGACGGGUAGCUGGUCUGAGAGGAUGAUCAGCCACACUGGGACUGAGACACGGCCCAGACUCCUACGGGAGGCAG
rnacentral:rRNA from 1 species